GUGCCAGCCGCGGCGGUAAUACGUAGGUCCCGAGCGUUGUCCGGAUUUAUUGGGCGUAAAGCGAGCGCAGGUGGUUUAUUAAGUCUGGUGUAAAAGGCAGUGGCUCAACCAUUGUAUGCAUUGGAAACUGGUAGACUUGAGUGCAGGAGAGGAGAGUGGAAUUCCAUGUGUAGCGGUGAAAUGCGUAGAUAUAUGGAGGAACACCGGUGCGAAAGCGGCUCUCUGGCCUGUAACUGACACUGAGGCUCGAAGCGUGGGGAGCAAACAGGAUUAGAUACCCUGGUAGUCCACGCCGUAAACGAUGAGUGCUAGAUGUAGGAGCUAUAAGUUCUCUGUAUCGCAGCUAACGCAAUAAGCACUCCGCCUGGGGAGUACGACGCAAGGUUGAAACUCAAAGGAAUUG
rnacentral:rRNA from 1 species